CACUGCUACUUCAGUUUCUGUGCACAACCUGAUCUGCUCAGCCCCUGACUCCAUGGCUGCGGAGUGCUGCCAGGAUGACGUCAACUCCCCUCACAGAUCCCCGAGCUUUGAAGGCCUGCCACAAACUGGCUCCAGGUAUCAAAUAUUUUGUUCCAGCAACAAAGAAAGUGACUAAUUUGUGAUCUUGUCAGACCUAGAGCUUCUAAGAGUUUCUUCUUGUACUUCACAACUUGCAUAUGGAAUUUCAGUAAAGAAAAUAACAAUGUGCCUUUGAGGAUCGAACUCAGGACCUUGAGAGGCAGGGAGUGGAACCACUGAGCUAAAUACCUGGCCCAUAUUUACAUUUUUGAAAAGCAA
ensembl:lncRNA